GCCACCAGCCCACACUUUGGCCCCAGCCAGGACUCAAGGGAGGGACGAAAUUUGCAACCCUGGAAACUCUGCACCCCAGGUUUAGCCUCUAUUGGAAUCACAGAGAUGUCACGGAAAGUGCAAUCGGGAAAUGGAUUGUCUCCAUCUCUGCUCGUAGAACGCAGGGCCCGGAGCCAAGUGUACAGGCAGCGCGUUUGUAUUUUAAGUUAUAUUAACAACCAGCUCCCUCUGCAAUUCCAAAUACUGAAUUAUGACGUCCUCCUCGGAGCAGCAGUAUAAUGAACAGCAGGUACGUCACACAGGUUGCCCAAAGCAGAGGAACUCCACUCUGCUUCUUUUCCUGGGAAACGGAAGGUAGAGAGUUCCAAGGUAGCCUGGGCUACACAGCCAGAUCUUAUCUCAAAAAGGUGCCAGGGGCGAUGGUGUAAGUCUACAGCUCUGAACUCCAGAGGUUACAUUAUUAGAACCCAGGAGACACUAGGAGGCAAAACCUGGUUGGGAGAAGUGGGUCCCUGCCCUGUGCUUUGGAGGAUAUGUGUGCCCUGGGAAAACCGAAGGAGAAAGGGUAUACUACGAUCUUCAGAGGUACAAAAUAGUGAUUCUCAGGGGCUGGGGGGAUGGCCCAGAAGUUAAAAGCACUUGCUGAUCUUUCAGAGGGGCUAGGUUAGGUUGCCAACACCCAACAUUAUUUUAUUUAAAUUCAAAAAAUAAUAACUCUGAGUCGGGGUUUGGAGAGGUGCAAAGCGACCCAGAAGUAAAAUGUUGUGUCUUAGCUAAAGGUGAACUAUUUCCAACAGAUGUUACUAUUAUUUAUUCCAUGAUAUAAAGACGCUUGCAGGGAGAAGGGAAGCCAAGAUGGUCAGCCACGGGGAAGCUCAUCCACGGAGGGAAAGCUCAAUUCGAUCUCCAGCUGACCGCUUCGGCAGUUUCCACAGACUGUUUGAAAGCUCCCACUCGCUGCUGCCCUCCACCAUGCUUCGCCCGCCGUCUCUGUCAUGUUUUGAAUCCCGGAUUUGAUAGAUGUCUAUCUGCUGUUUUUGUCUGUCAUUUGCUGCUUACUCUUUUGCUUGCUACAUAAUGAAUAAACUCACAUAUUGGAAACUAAA
rnacentral:lncRNA from 1 species